GGUUAAGCGACUAAGCGUACACGGUGGAUGCCCUGGCAGUCAGAGGCGAUGAAGGACGUGCUAAUCUGCGAUAAGCGUCGGUGAGGUGAUAUGAACCGUUAUAACCGGCGAUUUCCGAAUGGGGAAACCCAGUGUGUUUCGACACACUAUCAUUAACUGAAUCCAUAGGUUAAUGAGGCGAA
rnacentral:rRNA from 1 species